CAAUUUGCUAAGCUCCUUCUGUGCCAGGUGCCAGUGCUAAGCAUUAUGUAAUGUCAUUCUUACCACCCCGGGAGGGGGCACACAUUUCACCAAGGAGGAAAGCAGCUAAGAAGCCUCUCCCCCAGCCAGUGUCACCUAGCCACAAGGCAGGGGAGUCACGAUUCAAUCCUGGACUUCUCCAACGCUAGCACCCAGAUCAAGGUGUUAACAUGCUUGCUUGGCAGCCUGGGCAGUCUCUGAUUUUUAUUUUUUGAAAUGGAGUCUCGCUCUGUCGCCCAGGCUGGAAUGCAGUGAUGUGAUCUCGGUGACUUGUCCAUGUCCUUUGUUCAUUUUUCUUUUAGGUUGUUUCAUCUUUUGUCUUAUUGUUUUUAAGAGCUGGUUGGCUCUCUGUACAUAUGUGUAUAUGUAUUUGUUUCAAGUUAAUGUUAAUUGAACAU
rnacentral:lncRNA from 1 species